rnacentral:rRNA from 1 species
AAUUAGUAGAGGAUGCUUUUGGUGCGGUGCCUUCCGAGUUCCCUGGAACGGGACGCCUUAGAGGGUGAGAGCCCCGUACGGUUGGACGCCUAGCCUCUGUAAAGCUCCUUC